UACGUAGGUGGCGAGCGUUGUCCGGAUUUAUUGGGCGUAAAGGGCGCGUAGGCGGCCACGCACGUCCGUUGUGAAAUCGCCCGGCUCAACUGGGCGGGGUCAGCGGAUACGGUGUGGCUCGAGCAAGCUAGGGGGCAAUGGAAUUCCCGGUGUAGUGGUGGAAUGCGUAGAUAUCGGGAGGAACACCAGUGGCGAAGGCGGUUGCCUGGAGCUUUGCUGACGCUGAGGCGCGAAAGCGUGGGGAGCGAUCCGG
rnacentral:rRNA from 1 species